ensembl:snoRNA
AUCCAGUGAUGAGACGUUGGCAUUAAUUAUGAUCUGGUCAGACCUAGAAACUGUGGCUUUUAAUCAGAUGUUUGGUGGGUAAUCUUGGUAGUGUGAUUGAGUUUUAUUACACUGCUGUAAGGGCUCACCUAUAUUAAAUCUGCCACCUUCUACCACCUCUAUCCCAUGGUGAGACAUUUUGUGGGAUUUGUAGAAGAUGUCAAAACACUGUGUGUGGUUUCUUGUUUGUUGUGUGAAUGUUUAUGUAUCAGCUGGUAAAAGGCUAUUGUCUCUAUAGUUGGUUUGACAGAUAUGAACUUCAUCUUUGGUAAUCUGAGGAUA